rnacentral:rRNA from 1 species
UACGGGGGGGGGCAAGCGUUGUUCGGACUUACUGGGCGUAAAGGGCUCGUAGGCGGCCAACUAAGUCAGACGUGAAAUCCCUCGGCUUAACCGGGGAACUGCGUCUGAUACUGGAUGGCUAGAGGUUGGGAGAGGGAUGCGGAAUUCCAGGUGUAGCGGUGAAAUGCGUAGAUAUCUGGAGGAACACCGGUGGCGAAGGCGGCAUCCUGGACCAAUUCUGACGCUGAGGAGCGAAAGCCAGGGGAGCAAACGGG